UGUGUUCAUGUGAAGUAGUAAUAUCUAGACGCAAUCAACCCCAUACAGUAAUUAUCACUAGUUUAUGACACAAUAUGAUGUUUAAUUUCGCCUGAGACUGGAAUCUGAAGACUGUGACUGAUCUGUGUGCUUGAUAGCUGUGAUUUUAGAAUGAACUCUCCUUGAAUAUUGUCUUUGCCAAUCCAUUACAAAGCUUGAGGUUUGUA